AACGAACGCUGGCGGCGUGCCUAACACAUGCAAGUCGUACGAGAAAUCCUGGGCAACCGGGAGAGUAAAGUGGCGCACGGGUGAGUAACGCGUGGGUAACCUACCCUUGAAUUGCGGAUAACUCCUCGAAAGGGGAGUUAAUACCGCAUAAUAUUCCAGUUCCCACGGGAGUUGGAAUCAAAGGUGGCCUAUGCAUGCAAGCUAUCGUUUACGUAGGAGCCCGCGUGCCAUUAGGUAGUUUGUAGGGUAAAGGCCUACCAAGGCAACGAUGGUUAGCUGGUCUGAGAGGAUGGCCAGCCACACUGGAACUGAGACACGGUCCAGACUCCUACGGGAGGCAGCAGUUGGGAAUCUUGCGCAAUGGGGGAAACCCUGACGCAGCAACGCCGCGUGGGUGAUGAAGGCCUUCGGGUCGUAAAGCCCUGUCAGGUGGGAAGAAACCUGCGGAUGCUAAUAUCAUCCGCACUUGACGGUACCACCGGAGGAAGCACCGGCUAACUCCGUGCCAGCCGCCGCCGUAAAAC
rnacentral:rRNA from 1 species